ACCACACGCACAAGCUCGCCUCCUCUUCCUCUCGCCCACGAAGUCCUCGCCGCCGCCACCACCCACGCCGGCCGCUUCCGGCGAGCUCCGGCGCCGCGCAGCACGCCCCCAAGCUCACCAUGGUCCGCGCCUCCCUCCCGUCCGUCCAGAUUCCCGCUCCCGGCCUCUACCACCCGCUCGCAACCCCACCCCCGUGGCUAGGAUUUCUGGCAAGGGUUCGCCGGCGCGUCUCCGGCGGCCCUAGAUGCAGAUGUAGCACAACAUGGGAGUUUCCCAUCCACCACGGUGGCAGCUUCUUCACGGAGAUGUGAUGCAAAAGAAGCACAAUAGUUCAGUGAUGAUUAGCUUUGUUUUUUCCCAGUUGAGAAUUUGAGGUUGUGUGUGUACACUGUCAACAAUAUUUCCAGAAACAAAAUAAUCGUGUACAUCCUUGUUUGGGGAAAGGUGGGCUGUAUAAGCAUGGACAUUAAUCUUCAAUUGUGCUAUAUAAGCAUGGACGUUAGGUAGUCAAUUUAGCCACAUAUAGAAUUCGUUAGAGUAUUACAUUUAAAUGGCUGACACAAGGUUCAGUAGGAAUUUGUUACAGUAUUACAUUUAAAUGGCUGACACAAGGUUCAGCCAGAUAUAAAAGGUCACAUACCAUUUUAGUUGUAAUUAUUCAAAUGGCUGACACAAGGUUCAGUAGGAAUAACAUUAUGGUGUUCCAAAUAUGCAGCGGCAUGACUAAAGCUCAAAUUUCUAAAGUGUUUGUCGUGCUUGCCGUAACAGUGUAGAUCUUUUCACAUUUUCUGGAUUUAUUCAUGCCCGUGGAGUUUUUGUGCCCAUCAUAUGUAGAUCUUUUAUUGGUAAGUUUGGAUGUUGUAGACUGAUCCGCUUUGGUAAGUCAUGUUUGCCUGCAGGGUGAUGAUGUUUAUGCAUCUAGGGAACUAUGGAGAUUUUACCAUGUGAUAUUUCCUCAAGCAAACUAAGUUUUUUUGCAAUUUGCUGCUCAAGUUGUGGCUCUUCUGCAGGUAUGUCAUUGUGGUCCUUUCCACUAUAUUUAUUUGACGUAUAUGCUUCCAGACAAUAACUUAGGUUUUGUACUACAUGGUAAAUGAAAUGAAAUUUCUAAUAUGCUAGAACGUACAAUGGUAAUUGUUAGUUUCAUUAGUAUUUCUCGGCAAACCCUCAUUCUUUCUUGGUCUGCUGAAAAUAAUUGUUAUCAGUUUUUCUUUACAUUGUCUAUAGAGAAAGUGAUGUUUUUAAGAGAUAUUUCUAUAACAUGAGCAAUGGUGCUUACUUCUUAUAUCCCAUAUAUUUUUGAAUUAUGUGCUUAUGAGGCAAAACGGUCAUGGCGGUCCUACACAAGUGGAUGAAUGACUGGAAGGGGCGGCACCACGACGGUUAAGGUGGUUUAUACCCAGCCGGGGAGGACGACCCCCUGCAAUGGGCACGGAAAGAUGUUGCAGCAGCGAACGAGGAGGCGGAGAUGCGCAAAGCAGAGUAGGAAAAACGUGCUCUGGUCCUCCUCCAAGCCCGCCGGCGACUGCCUAACAUGGUACGAGAUUGUUACCCCCUGCCGCGUCAUCAUUACUUGAAGUACAAGGAACCUGACAACAGUGAUGUUGAGGAAGAUGGUGAAUGGGCAGCUCCAACCAUAUGCAAAAGGAACAAUUUCAAAUCCUAAGUGCAAGGACCAUGUACGCAAAAGUGUCAGUGCCAUACUUCUGUACAUAAAACGAUGGAACCGGCAUCAAUCACUUGAACGGGCAUGUUGAUUUGGUUUUCCUGUCUAUGUGCCUUGAGCAUUUCUUCCUCUACACCAGGCAAUGAUUGAGGAUUCACGGAUAUAUUGAGAUCAACUUUUCGAUGCAAUUUGGAUGAUCAAAUCACACUACUAUCUGAGCAUAUAUCAGAUGUUCGCACAGCUACAUUUUUAAAUGUUCAUAAGGUUUGUGAACAUACAAUUUACUACAUGAAGGAUGUGCCUGGCUUCCAUGCUGAAGUAGUAGGACUAUUUCCACAUAUGCGAGAGAAGAACUAUGAUCGGAGGUACUAUGUAUGCUUGAUCCAAUUUAGACAUCAACAAUUAUGUAUCUAAAAGCUAGAGUGCUCCUUGAACAUUGUACUGUAUAUAUGAUUGAAAUGAGUUGCAUGUUGUCGGUGACGGCGAGUUGAACCAAUGGAAGCGGCUGUAAUGGUAAUAUAGAGAAGAUGGCCGUGGGAGAAAAAGAGGAUGGCAGUAAUGGUAAAGAAGAGAAGAUCAUUGAUGUAAAAGGAGGACAUGUGUUGGACCUAGCAUGUCUAAAUACAAGCAUGUGAUCAUAAGUAUUUUCUUUUCCUUACAAACGAGAGUUGGUUAUUUGGCUUCACAACCUCCAUAUUUCAAUUUGGCAUGCAACGACAUGUACAUGCAUGUUUUGUCUUCAGGUGAAGACUUUAAUUGGUUA